GACGAACGCUGGCGGCGUGCUUAACACAUGCAAGUCGAACGGAAAGGCCCUGCUUUUGUGGGGUGCUCGAGUGGCGAACGGGUGAGUAACACGUGAGUAACCUGCCCUUGACUUUGGGAUAACUUCAGGAAACUGGGGCUAAUACCGGAUAGGAGCUCCUGCUGCAUGGUGGGGGUUGGAAAGUUUCGGCGGUUGGGGAUGGACUCGCGGCUUAUCAGCUUGUUGGUGGGGUAGUGGCUUACCAAGGCUUUGACGGGUAGCCGGCCUGAGAGGGUGACCGGCCACAUUGGGACUGGGAUACGGCCCAGACUCCUACGGGAGGCAGCGGUGGGGAAUAUUGCACAAUGGGCGGAAGCCUGAUGCAGCAACGCCGCGUGCGGGAUGACGGCCUUCGGGUUGUAAACCGCUUUCGCCUGUGACGAAGCGUGAGUGACGGUAAUGGGUAAAGAAGCACCGGCUAACUACGU
rnacentral:rRNA from 1 species